CUCCUUUUUCUCCUCCUUCAGCCUCCCCCCCUCUCUCCUCUCCCCUCCUAACAGUUGGACUACCUGUGGGUUCUCUGGUUCUUCUGGUUCUUCUGGUUCUGGUCCUGGUCGGAGUUCUGUUGCUCCGCAGGAAUCAAACAGAUGCUGUCAGAUCUGCUCAAAGGAAACACACUGCAGGUCUGGCUGUGCUGACUGCUGCAGGUGCGGCUGUGUUGCUGUGUGGACUGCUUGUUUCUGCAG